rnacentral:lncRNA from 1 species
GGCAGUGUUACAUGUGUUUAGACAUCCAAGGCAUGGUGUCUUCCCACCUCUAUUCGAUCAUAUAGCAGAAUUUGGGUGGCUUUGUGCUCAAAGUUUUAAGGACAGGACAAUUGGAGAUCUUGGCUCAUGGCCACAUCCAAUCAUAGUCCGCUUUCUCCCUCGUUGCCGCACUUGGGCGAGCUUGUUAAAUGUGGCGGACCAUUGCUUUGAGGAGUUCCUAUACGCUGUCAGUAUACGAUCCAUCACAUUCCCGCAUGAAGAAUGCAUUGAGAGUAACAGCUUUGUCUUCAGGCAAGGUAUAUAUUUAGAUCAACAGCUUUGUCUUCAGGCAAGGUAUAUAUUUAGAUCAACAGCUCUGUCUUCAGGCAAGGUCGAUGUGACACUCAAGCCAAAAUCGAUUAGUACCAGCUGAUUAAAUCAGCCUGAUUUGUUCCACCAUCAUGGAGCUUAGCGAUGGCCGUCCCAAUCUGAGUAGCAACAUCAUCUAACCGUUCCUCAACAACCCCAUUCGCCCCAAAAGUCAAGGAGAAUGUCUUUAACAGAGACGCCCUCAAUGUACUCAAGUGUUAAAGAGUGAAGCAGAGUAUCCACAGCAUAGAUGACUGGAGUACAAACCCCUAGCUUUCUUGCCUUUGUCAUACAAGCGUUUGAGUGUGAGUUUGGCAUCCAAAAUCGGGUGGCGAUAUUUCUUCGAGAAACGUUCUUUCACAAUGGAUCUUCUUCCAGAAAAUGUAGACUCCAAUACCCUAGCUUCUGCUCCUUGUUUUAUCAGAACUAGCGAUUCAUUCCCAACGUUUUCCUCACAAUCCAUCCUAUUUUUCAUUUAGACUUGUCACC